rnacentral:lncRNA from 1 species
CUGUUGCCUUCCUUCCUCUCACUGUAAUUAGGAACUUGAUCUUGGAAACCCUCCUUCAUGAGAGGCACUCAGCUGAGCCUCUGGAGUCCACCUGAAUAAGGCUGGCAUCAGGUUCCUCUGUUUUAUCUACUUCUUGCCCUUCCAUAUCCCAAAGAGAAGAUGCUCUGUCAAAGGGCUGUCAGCUGGUGCCAUCCGCAACUAACUCCACGUUCUGGGAGUUGCCGAGGGCUGCCUGGGCGGCCAUCCCAGGACACCAGACCACUCGGCUCGUAUCUCUGGUUACUUCCUGCGCUGGGGAAAAAAGAACACGCUUGCUCUCCUGGGUCCUCGGGUAAACUACAGGCGGCUUCUCCUGGGUUGGAAUCCGUUUUGGCGGUCGCCUAAUUCCGCGAGGGCUUUUUCACGGCUUCAAGCCAAGAGCGCUGAAGGGAGGAAAGGUAUACUGAUGCCGUAGGGCUGAGGGAGGGAUUCCAGGCUCC